AACCCAUGCUGAGGAUAUUUUCACAAGAGAUCCUUGAACCUGUCCCAUGUCUCAAAAAGAGACUCUAAUUCCACUUGCGCAAAAGCGGAUAUUUCAUUCCUGAGCUU